rnacentral:misc_RNA from 1 species
AACGGUCUAUACCUGCGGUACCUGCGGAAGGAUCAUUAACGAUUUCGGUGUAAAAAACCGUUUUCUACCUAUGUCUACGCGUACCACUUGUUUCCUCGGGGGGCUUGCCCCCCGCUAGGACCCUUUAUCAAACCUUUUUGUAAUAGCAGUCAGCGUCUGAUACUACGUUAAUUAUUAAAACUUUUAGCAACGGAUCUCU